rnacentral:ncRNA from 2 species
UCAGCUCUAACGGGGUGCGAUUUUCGCUGAGAGGCUUUAAGCCAACCCGAAGAACCUGAUCCGGCUAGCACCGGCGGAGGGAUUAGACGCGCAGGACGC